CGCAAAGAGGAGCCUGCUGGUCUGCUGGCGGGCAGGCGGCGCUGGGCCGGAGCCUCUCCCUCCGGUGCGCACAGCGCACCCUCUCCUCCCCCGGCCGCCCGUCGCAGCGCGGAGAGGGCGUGUCGGCACCCUGCCUGGCGAGCGCCCACCCCUACAAUGGCUGCGAGCGCGCGGGACGGAGGGUGCACCGCCGCUCCCCGGGGACUUGCACGGGUGGCGCGCCUAGCCCAGAGCCCGCUUGUAGUGAGCGCUCAGUAGGGCGGGAAAGCUGCUGCCGCUACUGCGGCCUUCUGAGAAGACGCCCAUUCUCUGAUGUCAGGACUGCAUCGCCGAGUCCUGAUUGCAAAUAGCGAAAUAUAUAAUUAAGGAGAGUUCGGGGGCGUAUCCUGCAAUGGGAUGCCGAGUUCGAUAAAGUUGCAGGAUGCUGGGAAAGUGGAUUGAUUUGCUGUUGCUAAAUGAAUGGAAACAGCGUUAGAGCUUCUGUCCACGAUCCAUCAGUCUAUCGAGAUUGCUGAUUGCCUAUGACUUGGACGGUUGAUGGUUUUCAGGCCCACUGAGAGCAGCCAGCGUUGGUAUAACCGCAGGGAGCCCUCCUGGGAGGUUGAACCUGCAGAGCGCAAAUGUGCCCAGGUUGAUUUGGGGCCUAGUGGUCCAUUUUCACAGCUCCACUGCCUAUCUGCAUAACCAGGAGCCCUCAUUCAGAUGAACGCCAAAUGGGCCAGAGGGAGGAGAAUCAAAUGAGCAACUUUUAAAAGAUAUUAAGACAUAGGCACCUAACUCCGGACAGUUCCUUUAACCCUUGAGCUAACCAUUUGAAGCACAAAACAUAACAAAAGAAAAGACUGGGGGGAGUGGGGCCAAAAGAAACCAAGUGCAAAAUUCUGUACACUUGUGUCAGAUUCACUCCGUAAUGGGAAAAGGUCUGGCUUUGAAAACUUUAUGGAUCAAAGGGAUGCAUGGAGUUACACAGCACAGCUGCAGAAGAUAAUGUUCCCCUGGAUCACUCUGCCCAACUCUUAACUGCAACCCACCUUCCCCAUCCGUCUCCCCGAAAUCACCCGGAAGGGUGUUACCUUCAGGAAGUAACUGAUCUCUUGAUCACCCCUGCUGGAUCCUGUCCCCAAGGGCGUUCGAAUGCAUCCGACUCAUCUUCACCUUGCCAAUAACGGGUGCUUGACACAUCGUUUGCUGCCAAUCAUUAUUGUGAUUUUAAUACUAUUGGUAUUCUAACUAUCAAGAUGACUGCUUGUAGAGCCAGAUUGCCUGGAUUCAAACUCCAGUUCACAACCUACUAACUGUAUGCCUUUAGGUAUGUUACUUAACCUUUCUGGGCCUCAGUUUCCUCAUCCAUCUGUAAAUGGGGAUAAUGAUGGCUUCUACCUGAUAGGGCUGUUCUGAACAUUACAUGAGCUGAUCGAUGAAAGCACUUCAAGUGGUACCUGGCAUCUCGUAAACUCAGAUGCCUCUGAUGGAUUCGAAAUAACCAGAUAUAUUUCUGAAUUGCUUCAUAUGAUGAAGAAACUGAGGCACAGAAGGUGGGUCAGGAGGGAGGAAGCAAAAGAGCUAGAAUUCAAACAUAGCAGCAUGACUUCGAGCCCACUGUCUUAACCACUUCAGAUAACUGCCUCUAAUGCAAAGACCCCUCUCGAAGGUCAGAAGUUUCACAAACACUGCCUUAAGUCUCAUGGCUAACUGGGAGGCCCCACAGAGCAACGUGGCUGUGCAUUAGACUCACCUGAGGAGCUUUUAAAACAUACCUAAGCUUGGCUAGGCACGGUGGCUCACAUGUAUAAUCCAAGCACUUUGGGAAGCUGAGGUGGGAGGAUCACCUGAGCCUAGGAGCUCAAGACCAGCCUGGGCAACAUAGUGGGACCGCAUCUGUACAAAAAAUUAGACAGCUGUGAUGGCAUGUGCCUACAGUCCCAGCUACUCAGGAGGCUGAGGUGAGAGGAUCGCUUGAGUGCAGGAUGUCAAGUCUGCAGUGAGAUGUGUUCACACCAUUGCAUUCCAGCCUGGAUGACAGAACGAGAACUUGUCUCAAUUAAAAAACAAAACAAAACAAACAAAAAAAAAACAAAACCCAAGCUUGAAGCAAAUACCAUAAUGGGGUAACAUUUGGGAAAUCUAAUGAAGGGGAAAUGAGAUAUCUUUGUACUAUUCUUGCAACAUUUCUAUAAGUCUGAAAUUAUGUCAAAAUAAAAAAUUAAAAGAAAAAAGAAUGAAUUAGAAUAAUAUUCAUUGACCUGGAGGGAUUUCUGCAGAAAUUAUUGUCUUCAUAGUAAGAUCCAGAAAAGUAUGUGUUAUGUGAUCCUGCUUCUGUAAAACAAACACUAACAAAAUCCAUCCACACACACCCAUUCACAUAUGCACGUGCAUCUGUAUGUCUUUAUGUGAUAAUGGAAUAAAACAUGCAUGAUACAUUUUUAAAAAUUCCAUAGCAAACCUCUGCCAGAGGUUCUUCUUGAAUUGUUUAGGAGUAGAACCUGGUCCUGGGUACUUUCUUUCAAAGUUUCCUAGAUCAGUGUUCUUAAUGUUGCCACACAUUUGAAUCACCUGGGAAGCUCUGAAACAGCCUGAUGGCCAGAUGACAGCCCAGGACAAUUAAAUCAGAUUCACUGGGAAUGGAGCCCAGGUAUGGAUGUUUUAAAAUUCCCAAGGGGAUUCCAAUGUACAGCCAAUUUGAGGACGAGGCAAGGUCCUUUGAGCAGCCAGAGUUGAGAAUCACUCCUGAGGAACAAGGGAACUCAUGUGUGUAGCCCCUACUAUGUGAUAGGCCUUUGACAUCCACUUUAAUCCUAGGAAUAGCCAGUGAGGUAGGAACUCCCAAGGAAAUAGAGGCUGGCUCCAGAGAUCAGAUAGCCUGCCAGAGGUCACAGAACUACAAGAAGGCAGUGCACACUCUAACCCCAUCAUCCACUGGGCAGUUUGGCAGGAAGCGGGGAGGGGAGUUGUUUUGGGAAGACUUCACUGACUCUCAAUCUCUCUUCUCCAAGACCACAGGGGUUGAAAUUUGUCUAAUAGAGAUUCUUUCCUUUGGGUUCCUCCUCAUAG
rnacentral:lncRNA from 10 species